ACGCUCGACACCUACGGGAGACAGCAGUGGGGAAUAUUGCACAAUGGGGGAAACCCUGAUGCAGCGACGCCGCGUGGAGGAAGAAGGUCUUCGGAUUGUAAACUCCUGUUGUUGGGGAAAAAGAGGAUGGUACCCAACAAGGAAGUGACGGCUAACUACGUGCCACAGCCGCGGUAAUCUGAGCGGGCUGGCAAGGC
rnacentral:rRNA from 1 species